AUGAAUGACACCAACUGUGCAAUCAUGAGCUGGAACGUCAAAGGGCUAAACUCGCCAGCAAAGAGAGCAACGGUGAGCGGGGUAGCUAGCGCGCACAAUCUCGUCAUCCUCUUUCUCCAAGAGACGAAGAUUGAUGCCUGGUCGCCGAUGCUCGCCAGGGAGAUCGGUGGCAGCCGCUUAGAUGGGUGUGACGUGCUGCCGGCGAUCGGCACACGCGGUGGAGCUGCCAUAUUUUGGGACUCUUCGACGGCAACCUUGACAACGCAUAGAGUUGGUAGAUACUCCAUCACGGCCAGAGUUGAAUUGCUACACACAAAUUCAGCUUUCUGGCUCACCACCGUUUAUGGGCCGGUGGAUGACACUCGCAAAUAUGAGUUCUUGCAUGAACUGGCUCUGGCAACUUCCACCUGGCCAACCGUGGAUCCUCAACGGCGAUUUCAACAUCAUCUACGAAGCCAGAUAUAA
rnacentral:rRNA from 1 species